rnacentral:lncRNA from 1 species
AACUCACUGAUGAACAUCCUCGCUCCAUCCAAGGUCCAGCAGCAUCCCCGCCUAAACCAUUGACCACUGACAAGACAAAAUGUUAGGUAAGAGAAGCUGCAUAUCAAGACCAUUCCUUUUGUAGCAGCAUCCAGGCUCUGCUCUAGAACAUGAGCUUCACACAAUUUCUGCAGCCCAUGUUAUGUCCUGUUUAGCUAGUAAGCUUAUUUUCACUGAGCGCCCAGGAAUCCAGAAGCAGCCAUCAUCUGGUCCUUUCAUCGCCCCCUGGGAUGUCAGACCACCUUGGCCUGCCCUUGGCAAGAAUCCCUCAAUCAAGACAGUGCUGAGUUCCUUCCCAGGGCUGAAGUGUGGAGAAGCAACAGCCACAGACUUGGAACUGGUGGGAGAGAUUGAGCAGGGGCAAUAUAUAGGAACAGAUGGGCCAGAAGUGCCACAUAAAGCUGGGAUAUUCAGAUUCCUUGGGGAGGACAGGAGAUAG